AGUGAACGCUGGCGGUAGGCCUAACACAUGCAAGUCGAACGGCAGCACAGUAAGAGCUUGCUCUUACGGGUGGCGAGUGGCGGACGGGUGAGGAAUACAUCGGAAUCUACUUUUUCGGGGGGGAUAACGUAGGGAAACUUACGCUAAUACCGCAUACGACCUACGGGGGAAAGCAGGGGAUCGUCGGACCGUGCGCGGUUGGAUGAGCCGAUGUCGGAUUAGCUAGUUGGCGGGGUAAAGGCCUACCAAGGCGACGAUCCGUGGCUGGUCUGAGAGGCUGAUAAGCCACACUGGAACUGAGACACGGUCCAGACUCCUACGGGAGGCAGCAGUCGGGAAUAUUGGACAAUGGGCGCAAGCCUGAUCCAGCCAUCCCGCGUGGGUGACGACGGCCUUCCGGUUGUAAAGCCCUUUUGUUGGGAAAGAACAGCAGCCGGUUAAUACCCAGCUGUUCUGACGGUACCCAAAGAAUAAGCACCGGCUAACUUCGUG
rnacentral:rRNA from 1 species